CCUGUUGGCAGCCUCAGCCCCUGGCGGAGCCCCUCCCGCCGCCGCGGCGAAGCCCCCUGCGGGACGGGGUGGGAGCCCUGGCCGGUCCACGCGCGGCACAGCACUCCGAGCUCGGGAGCCGGUGGGCGUCGCCUGCCCGGAGGCUUAGCUUUGCAAAGUGCCAAAGCGGCAUGGCCGCUCGGCGACUGGGUGAAGGGGCUCCUACCCACCUCGCCCGGUCCCCUUGGCGGCGCGGGGAGAUCAACGAGUGCUAAAAGUACAACUACCGUCUUAUAUAUGGAGAGGGGCAAAAAAGGAAAACCCACUCUCCAGGCAGACAACUGCCCAGAGACAAACCAGCCUCAUCUUCCUGCUUCACCGACUGAGCGUCCCCUUCCCCAGAUCCCAGUGGCCUGCGCUCUCGUCUGGGCCAUCCUGGACUCUGAACCUGGUCAUCAGCCCACACACCACACCAUGCUCGCGCGUUUGUUCUCCAUCUCUCCUUUCGGAGCUGAACCCAUGGCGCCGCGCUCCAGCUUCGUCGACAGUAUCCUCCUCCAGCCUUCCUAGAUAAGGGACCCCUGGUGACCUGUAGUGAUCAUCAUCUGAGCAGAGUCCUGCGAUGAGCUGCAUUCCUCAGGGAUGAGAACGUGUGGUCCCGCUCAUGGGCCCCCUGUGUGGCUCCCGUGUGGGCUGCUGGGGGUCGGCAGUGACCUUGAGGCUCUCAACACACCUGCUUUUAGCUUGGACCUCUUGAGACCUUUGCAGUGUAACAGGAUGCCGACAUUGUUUAUGGAAUACCCUUCUGCCCUUUGAAUUGAUGACCUUCCUUGAUCAUGUGCUCGGCUCCACGUUCCAGGGCACUCUCUAGCCAUCAGUCAUUUCUGCAGGACUUCCCCCCACAUCUGCUCCGGUCCUGUGUGAGAGAAUGUGGGACAGUGCUUUGAAAACUGCGGAGGGUUACGACGCGGACAGAGGGCACGAAGGCUCUCUUGGCCAUUCCACAUGAGGAUGCGUGCAGCGGUGGCCCCUCCACCCGCAGCCGUGGCCACAUGUUCCUCCUCAACCCCGUGGUUGCGGAUUUUCCGAAUUCUUCCAGGAUGAACCUUCCCAGGGAGCGCACCUCCCUCCUCUCCGAGACCCUGUGACACAUGGGUCAAUAGGACGUAUCCCCUGCCCUUGAGGAGGCCACAGCUUGGGACACAUGUCCCUUCCUACUUGCUCUAUAUUCCCUUACCCAGCAUGAACUGGGUCUCCUCCCUCUAGAGGUCCCACUACCUUCCAGGGGCGAAGCUUGGUGGCCUCCUUCUGGGCUUGGUCCUGCUUGACUUGUGUGACCCCAAAUGCACUUGCUGGGCUGUGAAGCAUUGGAAUUUUAGUCCCGGUGUCCAUCAGCCCCGUCCCCUCUGCUCUCUUUUCAGUUACUAGUCUUCCUUCCUAAAUCCAAGCAUGGGAGUUAUGUUCCUGGGCUCCAAAGCCUUCCAUGGCUCUCCUUUCCGUAUGGGGCAUAUGACCAAUCUUAUUUUUAGCAUGACACCCCCUUCCCAUCUUUUCCGUUGGCUUCACUCUGUGUUCUGUCAACAACAGCAUUUUGGGCCUGGGUCCUUGCCCAACCCAUACGCUUGGUCCCUAAGUUCCCACCUCCUGAAUUGCCCCUCCUCUUCACCUCCCCGACCCCUACCACAGACUUCUAUCCAUUCUUCAAGGUCCAAUAAAAAAUUCAUACUAUUGCCUCUUCCCUGACCUCCAUACAAAGAGAAGUUUUUGCACCUAAUGCCCUUUUACUCCAAUCGUACUGUACUGUGUGUAAGGCAAUGCAGUUAUUUUCACAUUUACUUAUCUUUUUCACUGAAUGUGGGCCUAAUUAAUUCAUUUAACCUACUCUCUUUUUGUGCCUGGCAUUUAAUAGAUACUUAAUAAAAG